rnacentral:rRNA from 1 species
UCCACGCCGUAAACGAUGCCAACUAGCCGUUUGUGUCCUUGAGACGUGAGUGGCGCAGCUAACGCACUAAGUUGACCGCCUGGGGAGUACGGCCGCAAGGUUAAAACUCAAAUGAAUUGACGGGGGCCCGCACAAGCGGUGGAGCAUGUGGUUUAAUUCGAUGCAACGCGAAGAACCUUACCAUCCCUUGACAUCCAGAGAAGCGACUAGAGAUAGACGUGUGCCUUCGGGAA